ACACUCCUACGGGAGGCAGCAGUGGGGAAUUUUGGACAAUGGGCGAAAGCCUGAUCCAGCAAUGCCGCGUGAGUGAAGAAGGCCUUCGGGUUGUAAAGCUCUUUUGCCAGGGAAGAAACGGUGAAAGCUAAUAUCUUUUGCUAAUGACGGUACCUGAAGAAUAAGCACCGGCUAACUACGUGCCAGCAGCCGCGGUAAUACGUAGGGUGCAAGCGUUAAUCGGAAUUACUGGGCGUAAAGCGUGCGCAGGCGGUUUUGUAAGUCUGAUGUGAAAUCCCCGGGCUCAACCUGGGAAUUGCAUUGGAGACUGCAAGGCUAGAAUCUGGCAGAGGGGGGUAGAAUUCCACGUGUAGCAGUGAAAUGCGUAGAUAUGUGGAGGAACACCGAUGGCGAAGGCAGCCCCCUGGGUCAAGAUUGACGCUCAUGCACGAAAGCGUGGGGAGCAAACAGGAUUAGAAACCCUGGUAGUCCCAUGA
rnacentral:rRNA from 1 species